rnacentral:misc_RNA from 1 species
UGCCCUCUCUCCCAUAUCCCCAG